rnacentral:rRNA from 1 species
UACGAACCGUCCAAACGUUAUUCGGAAUCACUGGGCUUAAAGAGUCUGUAGGCGGCUGAGAAAGUAGGGUGUGAAAUCCCACGGCUUAACCGUGGAACUGCGCCCUAAACUACUCAGCUUGAGGGAGCUAGAGGUAAGCGGAACUGAUGGUGGAGCGGUGAAAUGCGUAGAUAUCUGGAGGAACACCGGUGGCGAAGGCGGCAUCCUGGACCAACACUGACGCUGAGUGAGCGAAAGCCAGGGGAGCAAACGGG